GAUGAAGAACGUAGUGAAAUGCGAUAAGUAGUGUGAAUUGCAGAAUUUAGUGAAUCAUCGAAUCUUUGAACGCACAUUGCACCUCUCGGUAUUCCGGGAGGUAUGCCUGUUCGAGCGUCAUUUGUACCCUCAAGCUCUGCUUGGUGUUGGGUGUUUGUUCCGCCUCUGUGUGUGAACUCGCCUCAAAACAAUUGGCAGCCGGCGUACUUGUUUCGGAGCGCAGCACAUUUUGCGAUCCAGAUCAACGUACAGCGGCAUCCAAGAAGCCUUAUUUAACGCUCUUGACCUCGGAUCAGGUAGGGAUACCCGCUGAACUUAAGCAUAUCAAUAAGCGGAGGA
rnacentral:misc_RNA from 1 species